ensembl:lncRNA
CUUUUGUGAAUAAUACUCAUAUAAAAUAUUAUACAUCUUAGUUUUAAGAUUGUGGUUUUUGCUCUUUGGGGUGGCAGGUCCACUUCUUGCUAAAAGGAAUCAUCUCGGUGCCUUUGAUUUUCCUUCUCUCCCUUAGGCUAUUGCUUUUAGAAGUAGGGCCUGGAUCUCCCCCCUGUUUGCUUGGGAGUAAACACAUGGUAUCAUGGGGUUAUGAACAUAUGUUGCCUGUGCCAGAUAGCAACACUGGCUCCAGUUUUGAAAAUAAAGGUCCCCUGAAGACCUUGCCAAAGUGUGACAUCACCCGGGAGAAACUCAAGAAUGACAUGGCAGUGGCACCAAGCCCUUCCUCAGGUCGGUGCACCACUGCGUGACCUCCAGGCUGCCACAGCUCCCGGACAAGCACUCGGUUACCACCUUGCUCAACACCUGUGCCCGGAGCAUCCACCAGGCCUGCCUCCCAGCUGCCUAGCCAGGACUGCAGGGAUGGCCCGCAGCCUCAUCGGGGCCAAGGACACACACCUCCUGUCAGACACUUCUAGGUGUUGGCUUCCAUGGAGAGCCUGGAGUUAGGUUAACUUUCCUCCUUUUCUCUUCUGCCUUGGGGAUCUGCCAAGUGAAAUCCCACACUCGCACAGACUGAGACGGGCGCAGUGGAGUGGGCUGCCUGCAGGGCGAUAGCCGUCUUCUUGGAGAAGGUGUUCCAUGUGACUUCCUCCACAAAGCCGGACACGGUCCCCAGCCACCGUCCUCGGGCUGCUCUCACCGCGGCCUGUCCAGGGUCCGGGUCUGUCUCAGCAGCAUCAGGGUGCACUCAGGGUGUUAGAGCGUCUUGUGUGUGCUCGACACACCCCUGCUCCUUUCUAUAGGAGAACACAGAGGACAUAAGAAACCCUUCAAACACACAUGGGAUUCUCUGCUCACAGUUUGGGGUUCAGGCUGCGCUGCUUUGGGCAAGUGGGGCACCCCCUGGAGAAGCCCCUGAGUCCAGGGCACAGGCUGCCUAUCGGAGGGAGGGCUGGCUGAUGGCUGCUGCCGGCUCCCUGCCACCAGCUGGGCUUCGGCCCUUGUGGCAUUCCUGCUGAGCACUGUGGGGCCCCCAGGGAGCAGGGCCAUCAGGGAUCGUGCUGCCAGCACCCCUGUGCCACUUGUGUAAGGGCCGUGUCCAUUGUGAUGGAUGAAGAGCGAGGCCCUCAGGACCCGCGUCCUCAGAACACCACGUGCUGCACCACCCAGAGAAAGCCUGGCAGUGGGCGGGGCCCCCAUGCAGUGAGUGCCUCCCUGUGUUGCCCGCUCACCUGGGCACCGGCCAGCAGCCCUUUGGUGAUGAGGUCCUCCCUUUUUAUGCGAACUACCCCAUCAUCUGUGAUUGUUAUAAUCUUGUGACUCCUGUGUUUGUCAGGAGUUGUCACUGUGUCCCCCUCUCCGUGAACCUGGGCCUGCUGUCCUGUCAGGAUGCUGUCAGCCUUGGGGCCGGCACUGUCCACUCUGGCCCCGGGCCUCAGCUCUCCUUUUCUAACACACCAUCCCAUUCCUUGGCCUGGUUCAUCCCCCAGCUUCCUGGCAAAGUUCCUGCUCCCUGAAGCAGGGAGAGGUUGAGAUUAAUGCCAAGGAAGUGGGGCCAUGGGCUUGGGAAGACUGUGGCUGGGUGACGGUGGGCGCUAAGCUGGGCCAGCCCACCCCCGACUGGACAUGGCUGUGCUGUGGUGGAAGGGGUGGUGCGGGCAUGUCCACACCGUUCUGGAGACGGCCCUCCAAGGAGGAGGGCCUGUCUGGCUGGACCUCUUUGCGGUGCUGUCAGGGCAGGAGAGGACGGCCUCUUGCCCCCAGGAGCAUGUAGUCUGGGCAGGAGACCCAGGGUGAUCAUGUGUUUGAAACGCAGCUCCAGCCCAGCCAGGGGACCAGAAAAGCCCUCCUGCCUCCAGGGAGGAUGUGCACGGCUCUGCCAACGCGCCUCUCCCAGGGCCGCUGGCAGGUCCCGAAUGAGCAAGACUGGGCUGCCCAGGCAGGUCUCUGCAGACAGCAGGGGCUGGGCUAGGAGCCAGGGGCUGGGAAUGGGAAGGGACACGACGCCUGAUAGCCAGUGAGGAACCAGGCAUACAACUUGGAAGUCAAGAAGCUUUAUUUUCAGUUUCAACAGGUCAAGCGAUACCUACUUCAUCAUGUGCUUUUUAUGUAAAUGCUAAAUAGCAAAAUAACAAAAUAAAUGGUUAGUUUAGAGAUCA